rfam:Vibrio angustum S14 1099604003226 genomic scaffold, whole genome shotgun sequence.
UCUCGGUCUUAGAUUGAGUAAGAUAAUAACGUAAUUCACUUAGCAAUUACGCAGUAGGUAUUUAUGCUUACCAGCAUAAAUAGAAGGGAAAUUAUACGAUGUUCAGCUUUAUAAGAGUUGACUCAUAUUUAAGGGACCCAACA